rnacentral:lncRNA from 1 species
UGUGAGGCCAGCAUUACUCUGAUACCAAAACCAGACAAAGACACUACAAGAAAAUUACAUCAUUUAUAACAUUGAUGCAAAAAAUUUCAACAAAAUACUAGCAAACUGAAUUCAACAAGCGUUUGAAAAGAAUUAUACACCAUGACCAAGUGGAAUUUAUUCCUGAAAUGCAGGAUUGUUCAACAUACAAAAAUAAAUGGGUAUAUGGCCG